GAAACUCACACAAUCACAAGGUCCCACAAUGGACCAUCUGCAAGCUGAGGAGCAAGGAAGCCAGUCUGAGUCCCAAAUCUGAAGAACUUGGAGUCUGAUGUUUGAGGGUAAGAAGCAUCCAGCACAGGAGAAAGAUGUAGGCUGGGAGGCUAAGCCAGUUUAGUGUUUUCAUGUUCUUCUGCCUGCUUUUUUUUCUGGCCAUGCUGGUAGCUGAUUAGAUAGUGCCCACCCAGAUUAAGGGGGGGGGUCUGCCUUACCCAGUCCACUGACUCAAAUGUUAAUCUCCUUUAGAAACACCCUCACAGACACACCCAGGAUCAAUACUUUGCAUCCUUCAAUCCAAUCAAGUUGACAUUCAGUAUUAAACAUCACAAGGUUUGUUGAUUUUGUUUAUCUUUUCAAAAAACCAAUUUUUUGUUUUAUUAAUCUCUUGUGUUUUUAAAAAUUUCAAUCUCAGUUGUAUUUGCCCUGAUCUUUCUUAUUUCUUUUCUUCUACUAAUAUUGAGUUCAGUUUGCUCGUUUUUCCAGUUCUUUAAGAUUCAUCAUUAGGUGCACAUUAAGUUUUUCUGCUUUCUUGAUGUAGGUGCUUCUUGCUAUAAACUUUCUUCUUAGGACUGCUUUUGCUGUAUUCCAUAGGUGUAUGUGAUACUUUCAUUUGUUUUAAGAGAUUUUUAAGAAUUAUCUUGUUAAUUUUUUCAUUAACUCACUGGUCAUUCAGGACCAUAUUAUUUAAUUUCCAUGUGUUUUAUGGAAAUACUUGUGCAUGUUCAUUGAUAUUUGGGAACUGAAGAUUUAUUCUAAUCAUCACAUUCUGGGCUUGUUUGGACUUGUCCUUGUUGAGAAGGCUUUUCAUGUAUUCAAAGAGAAUUGAGUGUUGUGAUCUAAGUCUUUGGUCACUACAUCCGUAUCCACACUAGGGGUUGCUCCAAGCCCAGUACCUUAGUAAUUCUUACAGACUCCUAGAGGUGCUGCCUUGGUGGGCUUGAAUAAGAUCUAGAAAAAUUAUCUGGAUUACCAGGCAAAGUCUGUCAUUAUCUUUCCUCACUUUCCCCAAACAGAAAGAGUCUCUCCCUCUGUGCUGGGCUGACUGGAGCUGGGGGAGAGGUGAUGUGAGCAGUCCCUUGGACAUCAUAGCGGGGACUAUGCUGGGUCACACCUGAGGCCAGCACAGCACUGGGUCUCACCCAAAGCUUGUGGCAACUACUGCCGAGCUACAGCGGAUGCUGAUUUAAGGCUUAAGGGACGAUUGAUCAGCAAGUGGGGAAUGCUGCCAGUACCGGGUCCUUACCUUGAGAGUAGCAGGUUCCCUUCUGGCCCAAGCAGGUUUAGAAAUGCUGUCCAGGAGCCGGGCCCUAGAAUCAGAGGCUUUAAGAAUCUGCUUUGUGGUUUAUUUUACUGUGACUGAGCUGGCACCCAAGUUGCAAGACAAAGUCCUCUGUAUUCCUCCCUCUCCUUUCUGCAAGUGGAAAAAGUUUUUCCUGGAGCUGAAAGCUGCGCUGCCUGGAGUUGGGGGAGAGGUUGACACAAACAAUCCCUUAGCCACCACAGCUGGUGUUUCACUGGGUUGUAGGUAAAUCAAGCCUAGUGGCUUCAAGCUCAGCACAGCACCAGGAAUGUCCUUGUGAAACCCUUGUGGCCUGAUUGCCUUUUUUUUUUUUUUUUUUUUGAGAUGGAGCCUCUCUCUGUUGCCCAGGCCUGAGUGCAGGGGCGCGAUCUCAGCUCACUGCCAGCUCCGCCUCCCGGGUUCACACCAUUCUCCUGCCUCAGCCUCCUGAGUAGCUGGGACUACAGGCGCCCGCCACCAAGCCCGGCUAAUUUUUUGUAUUUUUAGUAGAGACGGGGUUUCACCGUGUUAGCCAGGAUGGUCUUGAUCUCCUGACCUCGUGAUCCGCCCGCCUCGGCCUCCCAAAGUGCUGGGAUUACAGGCGUGAGCCGCUGCGCCCGGCCCUGAUUGCCUUUUAAAUUUAUCCUGGGCCCCAGGCCCCUGUAGUCAGCUGGUAGCAGAGCUAGCUGGGUCUCAAACUCCUACCACUGGGACACAGCGUUCCUCUCUGGCUGGGGUUGGUGUUUCCUUCAGAAUUCAGCUAAGUGAGCACUGGCUUGUGUUGUGUUCCGUUGUGACAAGGCAGCCCUGAGUUCCAAUGCAAAGUUCCACAGUCACUCUGUUCUCCCUCCCCCAGGCACACAGAUUCUCCCUCCACUUGCUGCUGCUGGAGGGUAAGGGAGAAGUGCUGUAUACAGGGCAGGCCUGCCUUUCCUAACCCCAUCGGUGCCUCUUUCCUUGAUAUGAUGUCAGAAUCAGGACAGUUGCUCUGAUUCAUUUCUGGACUUCAGUGGAAGAAGCAGCCCUUAUUUAGGAUAUUGUUAGUCUUUGGCAGAGGGAAUACAAAGCAAUGGAAGGGUGAUGUGAUGGCUCCGAAAGCUUCUGUUGGAUGUAGAAUAUAAAGUUUGCUCACCUUUUUUAAUCCAAAGAGAAAAACAAGGAGAGAAAAAUCUAAACCCAGCAGAAGAGAAAGUUUAAGAAAGCGGUCGUCGCCAAUACCAAAAUUAGCUAUGAUAUUCAGGAAGAAAAAAAUGGAAACACGAUAACCACAGUCAAUAAAGACCAAGGCCACAUUCCAUUGACCAGAGCUCAGCCACGCGCCACACCUGGCUAAAGAGACUCUGGCUGAAGAAUUCCCUGAAUAUUUUAAUGUAGCUCUAGGUUAUAACACAGAACAACCACAAGGUGGCAGAAGAACUCCAUUCUUGUAAAUCUCUUAGUUGCUUCUUUAUUUCAUCUUCCCUAUUCCAUCUAAUGUUCCCUGAAUUUUACUAUUUUGUUGGUUUGAAAAUAUGUGUGACUUACGUCCUUUAAAGGAUUUGGUUCGUAAGGUUUUGAAUAGACUGGAAUAUAAAACAUUUAUAGAAAAGAAAAAUACCUACAGUAUGAUGUUAGUGAACUAUUAAUAAUCCAAUUAAAUAAAAUAUAUUUGCUUU
rnacentral:lncRNA from 1 species